rnacentral:misc_RNA from 1 species
GAAAUGCGAUAAGUAAUGUGAAUUGCAGAAUUCAGUGAAUCAUCAAAUUUUCGAACGCAAAUUGCGCUUUCGGGUUCUCCCGGGAGCAUGCCUGCUUGAGUGCCAGUAAAAACACACAUCAACACAUAUGUAUGUAUGUAUGUGUUGGAAUCUCUGAGCAUCCAAAAUAACGUCAUAGUAAUUUGGUUGCUUAAAGUGGAUAGUUAAUAUAUUAUUGUUUUGUAAACACAUACUAUUGAUAACAGUUCACUGUAUAUGUAUAUAUGUAUGUGUGUUGUAAAUCCUUAUUUAUAUAGGCUAUCGCACGCGCAUACUAUAUCUAUAUAUACACAGCGGCAGCAAUAGUAUAUACAAACAAACAAACAAACAACUUACUCCAUUCAUUGGCCUCAAGUCAGGUAAGAAGACCCGCUGAAUUUAA